rnacentral:hammerhead_ribozyme from 1 species
GUACUGCUGAAUAGUCCAAAACUAGGACGAAACAGCUGUCCAGUAC